rnacentral:rRNA from 1 species
CUUCACUUGUUGGUGAGGUAAUGGCUCACCAAGGCGACGACGGGUAGCCGGCCUGAGAGGGUGACCGGCCACACUGGGACUGAGACACGGCCCAGACUCCUACGGGAGGCAGCAGUGGGGAAUAUUGCACAAUGGGCGAAAGCCUGAUGCAGCGACGCCGCGUGAGGGAUGACGGCCUUCGGGUUGUAAACCUCUUUCAGUAGGGAAGAAGCGAAAGUGACGGUACCUGCAGAAGAAGCGCCGGCUAACUACGUGCCAGCAGCCGCGGUAAUACGUAGGGCGCAAGCGUUAUCCGGAUUUAUUGGGCGUAAAGAGCUCGUAGGCGGUUUGUCGCGUCUGCCGUGAAAGUCCGAGGCUCAACCUCGGAUCUGCGGUGGGUACGGGCAGACUAGAGUGAUGUAGGGGAGACUGGAAUUCCUGGUGUAGCGGUGAAAUGCGCAGAUAUCAGGAGGAACACCGAUGGCGAAGGCAGGUCUCUGGGCAUUUACUGACGCUGAGGAGCGAAAGCAUGGGGAGCGAACAGGAUUAGAUACCCUGGUAGUCUAUGCCGUAAACGUUGGGCACUAGGUGUGGGGGACAUUCCAC